rnacentral:lncRNA from 1 species
AAUGGUAAAAUCAACUUCCUAUAUUAAAAAAUAACCGAAUUAUGGAUGUUUCAAUGUUCAAUAUUAUUUUUUUGACAUUUUUGAAUUAUUCAUAAAUUGUGUUCCUUAAUAUACCUUUUUGUACCUUAUGAUAUCUUCUAGUGAUAUUUUUAGUAUCUACUUUUGGGAAGGAUCCUCUUCCCCUACAGAAACUAAUUUUUUCAAGUUUGUCUUCUUAGGUGAUUAAAAAAAAAUAUAUAUUUUUUUAUUAGUUCAAAAUUACAUUCAUUUAUCUUAUAUAUCAUUCAAACUGCUUUCCAUUAUAAUUUAAACAUACUUUUGCCUUCUGUAGAAAUUCUUUAUUUGUUGCAGAUGAAAUUUGCCCCCAUUAAGUUGAUUACAAGUCACGAUUACUUUUUUGUUUCAAAUGAAUUAGAUUAGUAGGUGGGUUUGCAUAGACAAUAGUUUUUAGAUGUCUCCACAAAAAUUAGUCUAAUGGUGUAAGAUCUAGGGAUCAAGGUAGCCAUUUUAUUAUACCAAUAGUUCCUAUUCAACGAUUUUCAAAAUUGUCAUCUAAAUAAUUCUUCAGGGCAAUUGUAUUAUGUGCUGGGGCUCCAUCUUUUUGCAGGAGGAAUAUUGUCUAGCAUGAUCGGUAGCUCAUUCAUUAGAAAUUUUAAAUACCGUCUUCCAUUUAAUGUAGAAAUAAGGUCCCAACAAUGUACCUCUAAUCAAACCACACCAAACAUUUGUUCCUCAGAUACAUUAGUUAUUUAUUUUACCGUUGUUGGUGAGGUUAGAUUCAUCUGUUCAUAAUAUGUAAUUUAAAAUAAUAGAAUUGUCUUUUAAUUGAGUUACCAACCAAGAAAUAAACAUAAUCCUACACUCAGUAUCACUUUGGCGUAAGUGUUAAACUAAAUCAGGUCUAUAUGGAUGAAAUUUGUUUUUUUAAAAACUUUUGAACAGCAUUAUGAGAAAUACCCAUUUCAAAGCCAACAUGGUGCAUUCUAACUCUGAGAUUUGCUCUCUUUAUGCUAAAAAUUGAAGCUCAAUAUCUUUCCCUAAUGUAUUGACUACUCUAAGUUGUUGGUUGACAAUAACUCUUGUGUUAGAAAAAGAACUAGUAUUAAUUAAAUUCCUUUCUAAUUUAUGAAAAUAUCUAUGUGAUGGGGUGUUGCCUAUCUGAAUUUAGAAAAACGAAUAAAUUUGUUUUAUUAUUUUGAACAACAAAACCAAAAGUCAUAAAAGUACCAAUUAUUAAUAGAUACAUACUCAAGUAUUAGUAAGUACUUGCAGCCUGACAUAAAUUUUUCCACAUUCCCAGUAAAUAAAAAGCAUAUCAACCUUCUCUGAAUUAUUCGUAUUUUGUUUAAACUACAAGCUAUCUCAAUUAUGAAAUUAUUUAUUGUUUAAUAAACACUCGUGAAUUCGUAAAAUAUGACUGUAAAGCAAAUACAAAACAAGUAAUUGCACUGGCCUAUUUCAAAUUAAAACAGUCAAUUGAUAGAGAAAACUCAUACCUAUCAUUUAUUGAUUAUUUUAAAAUAUCCAAUAAUAGAAAUAAAAUUGACAUGCGUGAAGAUUAUUUGCGAUCAAAUGAAAUUUGUGAAUAAUUCAAAAAUGUCAAAAAAUUAAUAUCAAACAUUGAAACAUCCAUAAUUCAGCUAUUUUUUAAUACAGGAAGUUGGUUUUACUAUUAAAAUUCAUAAAAAAUAUAGGAGUUAAAAUAGUUGACCAAAAAAGGUGAGAUUGUAGUUUAAAAAAAAAAAAGUUGUUAUGUGCAUGUGUGAAAUGAAAUGACAUACAAAUUGUUUAAUUAAUUUAAUAUUUGUUAAGUUUUAGAAUGUAUUCAACAAACGAUUACACACUGUAUAAAUAUUUUAUCCAUGUCAAAUUAUAAUGUGAUAAUUCAAUAUCAAGUUAUUAUAUUAUACAUUCUUCUUAACUUAUAUAUUAUUCUUAUUUAUUUCUUUUUUUUUUUCUGUUUAAAAAUGGCAUACCAUCAUAAUCUUUGAGGGGAACUGAUGAAGAUGUUGACAUUUUUACAACAAUAAAACAGUAACAAGUAACAACAGUAACUAGUAACUAUUUACAACAGUAAAUAGUCACACAGAAUAAGAAAAUUAGUCACAAGAAAAUUGAAUUGAUCCAUAUCAAAUUAUAAUUGAAUUACAAAAUUGUGAUAGCAAAAUUAUAAUUACCUAAAUGACAAGGUUAAGUUCUGCAAAUUUUAUUGAACUGAAAUCGGCUUAUCAACUUAUCAAUAACUAUAUUUUUGAUAAGAACUAUCAAAUUUAUGGAACUGUUUUCAAUUUUACAGAACCAAUGGCCGGCUAUCAAUUCUUUAUAGUUUUAUGUAACCCGGCAAUAAAAGAAAAUAAAAUUUCAUGGAAAUAAUGGUUUUAUUAUUUAAAAUUUUGUUGUUAUUCAAUCAAAAAUAUCAGUAGAGACUUGACAUUAAAAUUAAAUUUACUAUUUCUAGAUUUAAUACAAUUUUCAAAACAUUUUUGAAGAUAUUUAUGGGUAUUUUAUGUUGUGUAUUUUUUUAUGUAGAUUUUAUUUAAUAAAUACUAUGUUGAUAAAAUUGUUAGAUCAAACAGAAAUGAUUGAACACUCAACAGAAGGAUUAUUAUAAAGUGUACUUAGUGGUUAAAAAAAAAAAUAUAUAACUAAUGUGGGUUUUUUUUAAUUGUUUUAAAAUCAAAUUAUGGCGAAAUAUUACAGCCUUACAAAUCAAGUAUAAAUGACCUUUGCUCAGAAUUAAUUUGUUAGCAAUGGUUUAUAUUUAUAUAUAUUUUAAUUAUAAAUUAUAUAAUUAUGUGUCCUACUUUCCAAUUUCCAAACAGUGGCACACCCAUGAACAGAGUAUCAUCUCUUUCAUUCUUUUAAUUAUAAUUAUUUUAAGAAAUUUAAAAAUUUGUCAGUGUUUUCUUAUAACCAUCUUUAAUACCAGUUUUUUUUUAAAUUACACUUCAUAUUUCAAAGAAUGCUAAUGUAAAAUCUAGUGUAGCAUUAUUAAUUUUAGAUUCUGAGCAGAGCAAGGAAUAUAUUAGAUUAAAAAAGUGAAUAAAUAUAUAAAUAAAAAAUUUCUUUAUAAAAAUAAAAUAAAUUUAUUAAUGAAUGCGCCUGAAGUAUUAUGAUAAGUGUACUAUAACUGGUUUCGAAUUAAAAAUUCAUCAUCAUUAUAUCACAGUCAAAAUGUAAAACGCAACUGAAUAUACAAAAUUAAAUUAAGGAAUACAUAGA